AAACUUUCAGCAGUGGAUGUCUAGGCUCGC
rnacentral:rRNA from 1 species